UACAGAGGGGGCAAGCGUUGUUCGGAAUUACUGGGCGUAAAGGGCGCGUAGGCGGCCUGUUAAGUCGAACGUGAAAUCCCCGGGCUCAACCCGGGAACUGCGUCCGAUACUGGCAGGCUUGAAUCCGGGAGAGGGAUGCGGAAUUCCAGGUGUAGCGGUGAAAUGCGUAGAUAUUCGGAGGAACACCAGUGGCGAAGGCGGCUCACUGGUCCAUUACUGACGCUGAGGUGCGAAAGCGUGGGGAGCAAACAGG
rnacentral:rRNA from 1 species